GAUUAACGCUAGCGGCAGGCCUAAUACAUGCAAGUCGAACGGUAACAGGUGUAGCAAUACAUGCUGACGAGUGGCGCACGGGUGCGUAACGCGUAUGCAACCUACCUAUAACUGGGGAAUAGCCUUCUGAAAGGAAGAUUAACACCGCAUAAUAUCAUGAAACGGCAUCGUUUUGUGAUCAAAUCUCCGGAGGUUAUAGAUGGGCAUGCGUGACAUAGCUAGUUGGUGAGGUAACGGCUCACCAAGGCUACGACGUCUAGGGGGUCUGAGAGGAUGAU
rnacentral:rRNA from 1 species